AAACAUGGCUACCUGGGGACUUCCUGUCACCCAGGUGCCAGACUGAUUACAAACAUUACAGAUGAGAGGAGUGUCUCUCGGAACGCGAGGGGUGAGAGGCCUGACCUGAGUGAGGAUUCCUGAGCGAGCCCCACAUACAACGUCGACAGCUGCAGAACAUGCACUGUUAAGAAUUACCGAGCCAUUGGAGAAGAGUACCAACCAGAUUGGUUGAAAUCUACCAGUGGGUGAGAUCUCCACAUGCCUCAUCACUGGACCGAUCCGGUGGGCGGGCUCAACAUCACCUUCAUCACACACUGCUGGGAGGUGUGGCCUGUCAACGGACUCCUCUUCAUUCCUGAACACACAGUUGCUACAAAACAAGCAGUAAAUAUAAUAUCUGUAUCAAAAUUGAUUAAAAUAGUCUAACUUGAAAUGUAAGCAUUUCUAAAUGGUCAGCUGUGUUUUUUUAAACUUAGUUAACAGCUUUUCUUUUACACACAACUGAAACAUUAAUGGAAGAUUUUGUAGAAGCUGAGAGACAAGAUGUAGAACAUCUUUUUUGUGGCAUUGAAUCCCUGUUAGUGAUAAGGCGCCGUGUUGGUCUAUAAGCCAAUUACUCUCUUCAGUCAGUUUACUAAGUGUGGGUGAACUAUACACGGUAAAUGUGUCUGCACGGGGUGUUGACCUCCAGACAGCUUACUCACAGCAGCAGCAGAAUCCUUAUCGGGCCUGACUUCUCUGAUGCUGUUCUGAUGGGCCCAUCUGCUUCACACUGCUGGAUCCAGAAACAAAACCACUGAUAAUGUUAACGUGAAGAGAGGAGGGCAGUGCAGAGUAGUAACACAAGAGGAAAUGAUCCAAAUGAAUAAAGAUGCUACACAGGUUUAAAAAUAUACACACAAACGGAAAAUCUUGGAAAUGUGUAAAAGGAACAAAGUGUAUGCUUAUGUGUUGAUGCUUUUUCUUUGUUUUUUUCUUUAAUUCUUUUGUCUUUAUGUGCAUAAUGAUUGUGUGAUUAAUGUGUAUGUGGGAAAUAAGGACCAUUCAAUAGUCGAUUGCGCACAAAGGCAGGAGGCGCGGCUCAGAGUUAAAAUUAAUUUUUAUUACAAAAAUUCUGAAAACACAAUUAAAAGAGUUCAAUAAAAACACAAUCAAACACAAACUAAAUGGGGAAAAAGUCAGUUGGCUGAGGCCUCCAAAACAAAACAACUAAAAUAUAGUUCACCCCACUCACAUGAUACAGUGAAUCUCUUCACCAGGACAUGACACUCUGAAACUGCAACAAAAAAAAAA